rnacentral:rRNA from 1 species
CCUACGGGGGGCAGCAGUGGGGAAUAUUGGGCAAUGGGCGCAAGCCUGACCCAGCAACGCAGCGUGCAGGAAGAAGGCUUUCGGGUUGUAAACUUCUUUUCUCAGGGACGAAGCAAGUGACGGUACCUGAGGAAUAAGCCACGGCUAACUACGUGCCAGCAGCCGGGGUAAUACGUAGGUGGCAAGCGUUAUCCGGAUUUACUGGGUGUAAAGGGGGUGUAGGCGGGAAAGCAAGUCAGAUGGGAAAACCAUGGGGCCAACCUGUGGCCUGCAUUUGAAACUGUUUUUCUUGAGUACUGGAGAGGCAGACGGAAUUCGUAGUGUAGCGGUGAAAUGCGUAGAUAUUAGGAGGAACACCAGUGGCGAAGGCGGUAUGCUGGACAGCAACUGACGCUGAGGCGCGAAAGCGUGGGGAGCAAACAGGAUUAGAUACCCUAGUAGUC